GACGAACGCUGGCGGCGUGCUUAACACAUGCAAGUCGAACGGUGAACCUCUUCGGAGGGGAUCAGUGGCGAACGGGUGAGUAACACGUGGGCAACCUGCCCCCGGCUCUGGGAUAACUCCAAGAAAUUGGGGCUAAUACCGGAUGUUCACCGCUUCCCGCAUGGGUGGUGGUGGAAAGGGUUUCCGGCUGGGGAUGGGCCCGCGGCCUAUCAGCUUGUUGGUGGGGUAGUGGCGUACCAAGGCGACGACGGGUAGCCGGCCGGAGGGGGUGACCGGCCACACGGGGACGGAGACACGGCCAGGACUCCUACGGGAGGCAGAGGUGGGGAAUAUUGAGCGACGGGCGGAAGCCUGACGAAGCGACGCCGCGUGGGGGAUGACGGCCUUCGGGUUGUAAACCUCUUUCAGCAGGGACGAAGCGCAAGUGACGGUACCUGCAGAAGAAGCACCGGCCAACUACGUG
rnacentral:rRNA from 1 species